GACGAACGCUGGCGGCGUGCUUAACACAUGCAAGUCGAGCGGUAAGGCCCUUUCGGGGGUACACGAGCGGCGAACGGGUGAGUAACACGUGGGUGACCUGCCCUCAGCUCUGGGAUAAGCCUGGGAAACUGGGUCUAAUACCGGAUAUGACUCCAUGACGCAUGUUGUGGGGUGGAAAGCCUUGUGCGGCUGAGGAUGGGCCCGCGGCCUAUCAGCUUGUUGGUGGGGUGAUGGCCUACCAAGGCGACGACGGGUAGCCGGCCUGAGAGGGCGACCGGCCACACUGGGACUGAGACACGGCCCAGACUCCUACGGGAAGCAGCAGUGGGGAAUCUUGCGCAAUGGGCGAAAGCCUGACGCAGCGACGCCGCGUGAGGGAUGACGGCCU
rnacentral:rRNA from 1 species